rnacentral:rRNA from 1 species
CCUACGGGUGGCAGCAGUGGGGAAUAUUGCGCAAUGGGCGAAAGCCUGACGCAGCGACGCCGCGUGAGGGAUGAAGGUCUUCGGAUCGUAAACCUCUGUGAGCAGGGAAGAACGGUCACUGUGCUAAGCAGCAGUGAAUUGACGGUACCUGCAAAGGAAGCACCGGCUAACUCCGUGCCAGCAGCCGCGGUAAUACGGAGGGUGCGAGCGUUAAUCGGCAUGACUGGGCGGAAAGCGCUCGUAGGCGGUAGGUCAAGUCAAGGGUGAAAUCCCCGCGCUCAACGUGGGAACUGCCUUUGAAACUGGCAAACUGGAGUGUGUGAGAGGUUAGUGGAAUUCCAGGUGU